GACGAACGCUGGCGGCGUGCUUAACACAUGCAAGUCGAACGGAAAGGCCCUGCUUGCAGGGUACUCGAGUGGCGAACGGGUGAGUAACACGUGGGUGAUCUGCCCUGCACUUCGGGAUAAGCCUGGGAAACUGGGUCUAAUACCGGAUAGGAGCCAUUUUUAGUGUGAUGGUUGGAAAGUUUUUUUCGGUGUAGGAUGAGCUCGCGGCCUAUCAGCUUGUUGGUGGGGUAAUGGCCUACCAAGGCGGCGACGGGUAGCCGGCCUGAGAGGGUGGACGGCCACAAUGGGGCUGAGAUACGGCCCAGACUCCUACGGGGAGCAGCAGUGGGGAAUAUUGCAAAAUGGGCGGAAGCCUGAUGCAGCGACGGCGCGUGGGGGAUGACGGGCCUCGGGUUGUAAACCCCUUUCGCCAGGGACGAAGCUUUUUGGGAAGGUACCUUGAUAAGAAGCACCGGCUAACUACGUG
rnacentral:rRNA from 1 species